rnacentral:rRNA from 1 species
AUGGGAACGCGAAGAACCUUACCUACUCUUGACAUCCAGAGAACUUUCCAAAGAUGGAUUGGUGCCUUCGGGAACUCUGAGACAGGUGCUGCAUGGCUGUCGUCAGCUCGUGUUGUGAAAUGUUGGGUUAAGUCCCGCAACGAGCGCAACCCUUAUCCUUUGUUGCCAGCGGUUAGGCCGGGAACUCAAAGGAGACUGCCAGUGAUAAACUGGAGGAAGGUGGGGAUGACGUCAAGUCAUCAUGGCCCUUACGAGUAGGGCUACACACGUGCUACAAUGGCGCAUACAAAGAGAAGCGACCUCGCGAGAGCAAGCGGACCUCAUAAAGUGCGUCGUAGUCCGGAUUGGAGUCUGCAACUCGACUCCAUGAAGUCGGAAUCGCUAGUAAUCGUAGAUCAGAAUGCUACGGUGAAUACGUUCCCGGGUCUUGUACACACCG